AGCGCACACGGUGGAUGCCUAGGCGGUCAGAGGCGAUGAAGGACGUGGUAGCCUGCGAAAAGUGUCGGGGAGCUGGCAACAAGCUUUGAUCCGGCAAUAUCCGAAUGGGGAAACCCACUGCUUCGGCAGUAUCCUGCAGUGAAUUCAUAGCUGCUGGAAGCGAACCCGGUGAACUGAAAUAUCUAAGUAACCGGAGGAAAAGAAAUCAACCGAGAUUCCCUAAGUAGUGACGAGCGAACGGGGAGCAGCCCUUAAGCUGGAAUGGCUUUAGAAAAACAAUCUGGAAAGAUUGGCCAUAGAAGGUGAUAGCCCUGUAUUUAAAAGGGCCACUCCAGUGAAGACGAGUAGGGCGGGGCACGUGAAACCCUGUCUGAAUAUGGGGGGACCAUCCUCCAAGGCUAAAUACUCCUGACCGACCGAUAGUGAACCAGUACCGUGAGGGAAAGGCGAAAAGAACCCCGGAGAGGGGAGUGAAAUAGAUCCUGAAACCGUGUGCGUACAAGCAGUAGGAGCUCGCAAGAGUGACUGCGUACCUUUUGUAUAAUGGGUCAGCGACUUACUGUUCGUGGCAAGCUUAACCGUAUAGGGGAGGCGAAGGGAAACCGAGUCUGAUAAGGGCGCAUAGUCGCGGGCAGUAGACCCGAAACCGGGUGAUCUAGUCAUGGCCAGGGUGAAGGUGCCGUAACAGGUACUGGAGGCCCGAACCCACGUCUGUUGCAAAAGACGGGGAUGAGCUGUGAUUAGGAGUGAAAAGCUAAUCGAACCCGGAGAUAGCUGGUUCUCCUCGAAAGCUAUUUAGGUAGCGCCUCAUAUGUAUCCUCUCGGGGGUAGAGCACUGUUAUGGCUAGGGGGUCAUCGCGACUUACCAAACCAUUGCAAACUCCGAAUACCGAGACGGACUGUAUGGGAGACACACGGCGGGUGCUAACGUCCGUCGUGAAAAGGGAAACAACCCAGACCCACAGCUAAGGUCCCAAAUUCACUGCUAAGUGGAAAACGAUGUGGAAAGGCAUAGACAGCCAGGAGGUUGGCUUAGAAGCAGCCACCCUUUAAAGAAAGCGUAAUAGCUCACUGGUCGAGUCGGUCUGCGCGGAAGAUUUAACGGGGCUAAGCAGUGAACCGAAGCUUGGGGUGCAUAAAACUUGUUUUAUGCGCGGUAGAGGAGCGUUCCGUAAGCCUGCGAAGGUGGAUUGAGAAGUCUGCUGGAGGUAUCGGAAGUGCGAAUGCUGACAUGAGUAACGAUAAUGCGGGUGAAAAGCCCGCACGCCGAAAGCCCAAGGUUUCCUUGCGCAACGUUAAUCGACGCAGGGUUAGUCGGUCCCUAAGGCGAGGGCGAAAGCCGUAGUCGAUGGGAAGCAGGUUAAUAUUCCUGCACCUCGCGUGAGUGCGAUGGAGGGACGGAGAAGGUUAGGUGUACCGGGCGUUGGUUGUCCCGGGGAAAGGCGGUAGGUUUGGAUCUUUGGCAAAUCCGGGAUCCUUUAAGACCGAGCACCGAGACGAGCCUUUAUGGCGAAGUCACUGAUACCACGCUUCCAGGAAAAGCUCCUAAGCUUCAGCUCACGAAGACCGUACCGUAAACCGACACAGGUGGGUAGGAUGAGAAUUCUCAGGCGCUUGAGAGAACUCGGGUGAAGGAACUAGGCAACAUGGCACCGUAACUUCGGGAGAAGGUGCACCCUUUUUGGUGGCUCGUGCGAGCUAUAGCUGAAGAGGGUCGCAGAAACCAGGCCGCUGCGACUGUUUAUCAAAAACACAGCACUCUGCAAACACGAAAGUGGACGUAUAGGGUGUGACGCCUGCCCGGUGCUGGAAGGUUAAUUGAUGGGGUCAGCCGCAAGGCGAAGCUCUUGAUCGAAGCCCCAGUAAACGGCGGCCGUAACUAUAACGGUCCUAAGGUAGCGAAAUUCCUUGUCGGGUAAGUUCCGACCUGCACGAAUGGCGUAACGACAGCGGCGCUGUCUCCACCCGAGACUCAGUGAAAUUGAAAUCGCUGUGAAGAUGCAGCGUUCCCGUGGCAAGACGGAAAGACCCCGUGAACCUUUACUAUAGCUUUACACUGAACGUUGAGUUCGUCUGUGUAGGAUAGGUGGGAGGCUAUGAAACUGUGGCGCUAGCUGCAGUGGAGCCAUCCUUGAAAUACCACCCUGUCGUGCUUGACGUUCUAACCUAGGUCCGUUAUCCGGAUCAGGGACCGUGUAUGGUGGGUAGUUUGACUGGGGCGGUCUCCUCCUAAAGAGUAACGGAGGAGCACGAAGGUACGCUCAGCGCGGUCGGACAUCGCGCACUGUGUGCAAAGGCAUAAGCGUGCUUGACUGCAAGAUCGACGGAUCAAGCAGGUACGAAAGUAGGUCUUAGUGAUCCGGUGGUUCUGUAUGGAAGGGCCAUCGCUCAACGGAUAAAAGGUACUCCGGGGAUAACAGGCUGAUACCGCCCAAGAGUUCAUAUCGACGGCGGUGUUUGGCACCUCGAUGUCGGCUCAUCACAUCCUGGGGCUGUAGUCGGUCCCAAGGGUAUGGCUGUUCGCCAUUUAAAGUGGUACGCGAGCUGGGUUCAGAACGUCGUGAGACAGUUCGGUCCCUAUCUGCCAUGGGCGUUGGAAGUUUGAGAGGGGCUGCUCCUAGUACGAGAGGACCGGAGUGGACGAACCUCUGGUGUUCCGGUUGUCACGCCAGUGGCAUUGCCGGGUAGCUAUGUUCGGAAGCGAUAACCGCUGAAAGCAUCUAAGCGGGAAGCGCGCCUCAAGAUGAGACUUCCCGGGGCACAAGCCCCCUAAAGGAACCAUGUAGACUACGUGGUUGAUAGGUCAGGUGUGUAAGUACAGCAAUGUAUUGAGCUAACUGAUACUAAUGAUCCGUGCGGCUUGACC
rnacentral:rRNA from 2 species